GAUGAACGCUGGCGGCGUGCCUAAUACAUGCAAGUCGAGCGAACAGACGAGGAGCUUGCUCCUCUGACGUUAGCGGCGGACGGGUGAGUAACACGUGGAUAACCUACCUAUAAGACUGGGAUAACUUCGGGAAACCGGAGCUAAUACCGGAUAAUAUAUUGAACCGCAUGGUUCAAUAGUGAAAGACGGUUUUGCUGUCACUUAUAGAUGGAUCCGCGCCGCAUUAGCUAGUUGGUAAGGUAACGGCUUACCAAGGCAACGAUACGUAGCCGACCUGAGAGGGUGAUCGGCCACACUGGAGCUGAGACACGGUCCAGACUCCUACGGGAGGCAGCAGUAGGGAAUCUUCCGCAAAGGGCGAAAGCCUGACGGAGCAACGCCGCGUGAGUGAUGAAGGUCUUCGGAUCGUAAAACUCUGUUAUUAGGGAAGAACAAAUGUGUAAGUAACUAUGCACGUCUUGACGGUACCUAAUCAGAAAGCCACGGCUAACUACGUG
rnacentral:rRNA from 1 species